rnacentral:rRNA from 1 species
GGGACCCUAAGUCAGGCGGGGCUACUCGCUGAGUUUAAGCAUAUCAAUAAGCGGAGGA